GAAACGAUUCGCACCUAUAGCCUCGCCCCCGCCCCCCCGGCGAAAAGUUCGCAUGGAAGAACAUUGGAGUAAGAGGGGGAAGCUCAUCCUGGGCAUCGGCCAAAGGUGAAGCAGCUGCAGGGUACUGGACUCCUCCCUGACAGAAAAAAGCACUUAUAAGAAACAUUGCAACUGAGAACUACUUUGUUGUUUUUCAUCAUCCCUUCCAACUGCUUUUCCUUUUGUGUCGUGGGUUGUACACUGUUAAGUCUGAGAGGGGAAACUGUCUUAUUAUUAAUUGUUGUAAGAUGCUCUGAGAGCCUUUUCUUUUUGGUUAAUUAAAUUAUACAAAACAACUAAA